CUACGGGAUGCUGCAGUGGGGAGUUUUGGACAAUGGGGGCAACCCUGAUCCAGCCAUUCCGCGUGAGUGAAGAAGGCCUUCGGGUUGUAAAGCUCUUUCGGCAGGAACGAAACGGCGGGCUCUAACAUAGCCUGUCAAUGACGGUACCUGAAGAAGAAGCACCGGCUAACUACGUGCCAGCAGCCGCGGUAAUACGUAGGGUGCGAGCGUUAAUCGGAAUUACUGGGCGUAAAGCGUGCGCAGGCGGUUAUGUAAGACAGAUGUGAAAUCCCCGGGCUUAACCUGGGAACUGCGUUUGUGACUGCAUAACUCGAGUGUGGCAGAGGGGGGUGGAAUUCCACGUGUAGCAGUGAAAUGCGUAGAGAUGUGGAGGAACACCGAUGGCGAAGGCAGCCCCCUGGGUUAACACUGACGCUCAUGCACGAAAGCGUGGGGAGCAAACAGGAUUAGAUACCCCGGUAGUC
rnacentral:rRNA from 1 species